GGCUGCCGGGCGCGGCGUAGUCCGCAGUCCCGGUUUUCGCGGCAGCAGGCUGGAGCGGGAGGCAGGCUGGGAUGAGGUUGGAGGGACCCAGGAUAGGCCCAAAAGAAGGGGGCAAUGGGCGUUAGGGACGCAGACUCAGCCAGUCAGCCAGGGCGGCGCGCUGGGGAGAGUGCUGUAUUUUCACGCCAACACCGGUAUUUUCUUGGCGUGCCUCAAGCCCUCUCUGCGUGACUUGUUAACCCGCCGAAGCCACCCGGGACCCCAAAAGCACGAGCCUGGCGCCUCCUAUUCCACGCGGAAGUGCCCGAGUGACCCUGUGAAGGACCUCCCUCCCCUCACACACGCACAUACACAAGCCCAUGUGGGAGCCCGAGUGACGUGCUCGGUGGUCGUGCACCAUCAUUUCCCUUCCACCUUCCUCCCCGCCACUUCCUCUCCCUCCACCGCGCAGCUCCACCGCCCCGCCACUGCCGCAUCCCCUUCCAAGUUCAGACUGUGGGUGGAACCUGUUGCUUUAGCUCGAGUUUCCUUUCCCCUCUGGGCUGCACACUGAGGAUGACCUCAGCGAGGUAACUGAGUCAAAGAAACCUAUGCUGGCGUUUUCGAAAACACACGGGCUUCCUGAGUCUGUCAGCUCAUCUUUGGAAGAAGGUUCUGUGAAAUGAAAAAUACCAACACUUGGAAAGACACGGAUGCGUCACAGAGCGCCUACUAAGGAUUUCCUGUGAACCAACCAUUGUGACCUGUAAGAACUGGGAAACUAGGAAAUGCCCUUUUCUCUGUGGUGAUUAUGAAAAAUAUUAAUUUUAUAACAAACUAGAGAGAACCAGUUUCUCUGAAUUUCCAGAUUUGGGCCUGUUGCUAAUUAUUCCCAGUGAAUUCUAGCCUGGACCAAAUGACUUCCCUGGCGUGGCACAGUCCAGAUGGAAGAAAAGGGGAAUGCACAGGAUUCCUAAGUAGGGAGUGGCUGCCACCCUGAGAAUUCUUCUAAGCCGUGGUGGGAUGUGGUGCUAAAACCCUUUUUGAAGUGAUUUCUGUGAGGCACGACUCUCCUGUCCUAGGUAUACCUGAGCUAGGGAAGAUAAUCUAACCUUUCAGCUCCUCUGGAAGCAGAAAUCUUAGGAAUAACAUGAAAAGGGGCCUUCUAGUCUGGCCAACUCUUUUGUAAAACGGUACUGAUGGUGAUUUAAAUUGUCUUUUACUGUAACAUCUGUAAAUAGCCUGUCUUGUGCCCCAAAGAUGGUUUGAUUUUGAGAUUGCUGUGGGGCCCUGCCUGCCACUCCAGCGGGGUGGAGGUGGGCCUGUGAGUUGGAAGAUAUGAGUAGGAAACAUUGGUAUGCUGGGAAUUAGAUAGCUGUUUUUCAGGUCACCAUAUGACCUGGCAGGGCUUAGAUCACAAAAAGCUCCCUGCUCUGUGGCAGGACACAGGUAGACAUUUAAGUACUGAUUACCUGGGGUGAUAAGGGAGAUUGUGGUUUCAUUCCAAGUUUUGAACAUUAGGGCCUCCUAAGCCACCCACCCAGACUCCCUCUGAGCUCUGGGCUCAUCCCCCUGUUGCCCAGAUGGUCCAUGUUCAGGGAAUGCAAAAUAAGGCCUAAGACAAAUGUUUGGGAAAGUCAGUCUACUGCCAAAAAUGCAUGGCAUUUCAAAGCCAAAUAUAAACAUCUUUGAAUUACCUGUGCUUUUAAAUUGUUUUCCCAACAGAUAUUUCUGGAUCAGAUGGGAAAAUACCAGGUUUCCCUUUUUCUUUUCUCUUCAUGCAAGGUGCCUGGCUAGCCCAGUUUCCUUUCUGUUUCCAGCCUUCCAUCUCCUGCCAGGAGCCCUCCCUCUUUGGAACAGGAAGCCCUGCCAACUCCUAGGCCCAGCAACAGCCUGCAGAUAUGUCCAGCAGGAUAGGGAGAUGAUUUGCAAAGUGAUUGAAAUAUUCUGUCUUCCUGUUUACAGGAACAUUUUUUCAAGUUAGGGGCUUGGAGACUUAGUGUCUCCUGAAACCUUUGAAAAUUAGACAUCCGAGGUGUGGAAUAAGCACCUUCAUGCUUUGGCUGCAGCACCUUUCCCCAUCAAUCAACAAGUCCUGUCAAUUCUACCUAAAUACAAGGUCCCUCUUAAAUACCCACUGUCCCCACCCUAGUCUAGGCCACUGUGUCCUUAAAUUACUAAAUAGUUUCUUGACUGAUCCCUGCCCAUUCUCCUCAUGCAGCCAGAGUGGCCUUCCUAAAAUGCAAACCUGAACAAGUCUCUUGCUUCAUUAACUACUCCUCUACCCACCCAGGUCUACUCACUGCUCUUAAAGGAACUACUUCUCCUCUUCCACCCCACUUCUUUUGGUAAAUUUUUACUCAUUCUUCAAGUCUCAGCUUAAAUGUUACUUCCUCAGGGAAGGCUUGCCUGAUUCUUUGUACCUGCCCUUACUGGGUCAGGUGACAUUUGCGUGUGCCCAUGACACUCACUGCAUCAAUCUUAUGCACUGUGUCAAGGUUGCUGUUUAAUUGCUCAUCUUCUCUACUAGAAUCAUGGUGAGAAAUACAUUUUAUAUCAAGACAUAGGCCACAUAUUCAUAUAAAAAUAUAUGCAAGGGAAAGAAAGUUUCAUAAAGCACUUAUUUUGUAAAAUCUUAUUCUAGUUCAUUUAAAACAAAAUCUGGUCACACUUUACUGCAUUGACUUCCUAACCCUUAGAUAGGUCAGGGCUUUUGGUGUGAAAGAAAUACUCUAAAUUCCGUGGAGAGAGGGACAAUUUCCCUCAUUCAUGGUACAUGGAAUGGAAUAGGAGCUUAACAGGUAUUUGUUGCUGGAAUUAUUAAGGAUAAUAUCUAAUUCGUGUAAUCCUCAAAGAUCCUAUGAAGAAACUACUAUUAUCCCCACUUACAGAUGAGGAGGCUGAAGACAGUAAGGUUUAGUAACUUGCCCAAUGUCAAAAAGCUGGUAAGGUAGAUGGCAGAGCCAGGAUUUGAACCUGAGUAGUUUGCAUUGACCCUUGCAUAUUAUUUCAUGGAUGAAUUUACAAAGCAAAAAUGUCAGAAAGGGUUUCCUUGCAGCAACUUCAAGCUAGAUCUCAGUCUGCCCUGCAGAGGCUCCUUUGGCAGUAUUUAUGUCCGUGCAGUGAAGACGGCAUCUGGCAAGAACAGCUGUUCCCCUUUGCUUACAUGUGCUCAACCUCCUCAACCACCAAAUCCAGCAAUAUUUAGCAAGUAGGGAUAUUUAAUUGUGUAAAGGAAGAGUACAGACACUUC